rnacentral:rRNA from 1 species
GACGAACGCUGGCGGCGUGCUUAACACAUGCAAGUCGAGCGGGUCUGCCCUGUUUUUUGCGGGGUGGGUCAGUGGCGAACGGGUGAGUAACACGUGAGUAACCUGCCCCUCACUUCUGGAUAACCGCUUGAAAGGGUGGCUAAUACGGGGUGUUCUGGCUGUGCCGCAUGGUGUGGCUGGGAAAGAUUCACUUUUGUGGUGUUUUGGUGGGGGAUGGGCUCGCGGCCUAUCAGCUUGUUGGUGGGGUGAUGGCCUGCCAAGGCUUUGACGGGUAGCCGGCCUGAGAGGGUGGGCGGUCACACUGGGACUGAGAUACGGCCCAGACUCCUGCGGGAGGCAGCAGUGGGGGGUAUUGCACAAUGGGCGGAAGCCUGAUGCAGCGACGUCGCGUGAGGGAUGGAGGCCUUCGGGUUGUGAACCUCUUUCGCCGGUGAAGAAGGUCCUGCUCUUUGGGGUGGGGUUGACGGUAGCCGGGUUAUGAAGCGCCGGCUAACUACGUG